rnacentral:rRNA from 1 species
GCUUAACACAUGCAAGUCGAGGGGCAGCAUUUCAGUUUGCUUGCAAACUGGAGAUGGCGACCGGCGCACGGGUGAGUAACACGUAUCCAACCUGCCGAUAACUCGGGGAUAGCCUUUCGAAAGAAAGAUUAAUACCCGAUGGUAUAAUCAGACCGCAUGGUCUUGUUAUUAAAGAAUUUCGGUUAUCGAUGGGGAUGCGUUCCAUUAGGCAGUUGGUGAGGUAACGGCUCACCAAACCUUCGAUGGAUAGGGGUUCUGAGAGGAAGGUCCCCCACAUUGGAACUGAGACACGGUCCAAACUCCUACGGGAGGCAGCAGUGAGGAAUAUUGGUCAAUGGGCGCAGGCCUGAACCAGCCAAGUAGCGUGAAGGAUGACUGCCCUAUGGGUUGUAAACUUCUUUUAUAUGGGAAUAAAGUUUUCCACGUGUGGAAUUUUGUAUGUACCAUAUGAAUAAGGAUCGGCUAACUCCGUGCCAGCAGCCGCGGUAAUACGGAGGAUCCGAGCGUUAUCCGGAUUUAUUGGGUUUAAAGGGAGCGUAGGUGGACAGUUAAGUCAGUUGUGAAAGUUUGCGGCUCAACCGUAAAAUUGCAGUUGAUACUGGCUGUCUUGAGUACAGUAGAGGUGGGCGGAAUUCGUGGUGUAGCGGUGAAAUGCUUAGAUAUCACGAAGAACUCCGAUUGCGAAGGCAGCUCACUGGACUGCAACUGACACUGAUGCUCGAAAGUGUGGGUAUCAAACAGGAUUAGAUACCCUGGUAGUCCACACAGUAAACGAUGAAUACUCGCUGUUUGCGAUAUACAGUAAGCGGCCAAGCGAAAGCAUUAAGUAUUCCACCUGGGGAGUACGCCGGCAACGGUGAAACUCAAAGGAAUUGACGGGGGCCCGCACAAGCGGAGGAACAUGUGGUUUAAUUCGAUGAUACGCGAGGAACCUUACCCGGGCUUAAAUUGCAUUUGAAUAUAUUGGAAACAGUAUAGCCGUAAGGCAAAUGUGAAGGUGCUGCAUGGUUGUCGUCAGCUCGUGCCGUGAGGUGUCGGCUUAAGUGCCAUAACGAGCGCAACCCUUAUCUUUAGUUACUAACAGGUCAUGCUGAGGACUCUAGAGAGACUGCCGUCGUAAGAUGUGAGGAAGGUGGGGAUGACGUCAAAUCAGCACGGCCCUUACGUCCGGGGCUACACACGUGUUACAAUGAGGGGUACAGAAGGCAGCUACCUGGUGACAGGAUGCUAAUCCCAAAAGCCUCUCUCAGUUCGGAUCGAAGUCUGCAACCCGACUUCGUGAAGCUGGAUUCGCUAGUAAUCGCGCAUCAGCCAUGGCGCGGUGAAUACGUUCCCGGGCCUUGUACACACCGCCCGUCAAGCCAUGAAAGCCGGGGGUACCUGAAGUACGUAACCGCAAGGAGCGUCCUAGGGUAAAACUGGUAAUUGGGGCUAAAUCA